rnacentral:rRNA from 1 species
UGGGGAAUAUUGGACAAUGGGCGCAAGCCUGAUCCAGCCAUGCCGCGUGAGUGAUGAAGGCCCUAGGGUUGUAAAGCUCUUUCACCGGUGAAGAUAAUGACGGUAACCGGAGAAGAAGCCCCGGCUAACUUCGUGCCAGCAGCCGCGGUAAUACGAAGGGGGCUAGCGUUGUUCGGAUUUACUGGGCGUAAAGCGCACGUAGGCGGACUUUUAAGUCAGGGGUGAAAUCCCGGGGCUCAACCCCGGAACUGCCUUUGAUACUGGACGUCUUGAGUAGGGUAGAGGUGAGUGGAAUUCCGAGUGUAGAGGUGAAAUUCGUAGAUAUUCGGAGGAACACCAGUGGCGAAGGCGGCUCACUGGACCAUUACUGACGCUGAGGUGCGAAAGCGUGGGGAGCAAACAGG